rnacentral:rRNA from 1 species
UACGUAGGGUGCGAGCGUUGUCCGGAAUUAUUGGGCGUAAAGAGCUCGUAGGCGGCUUGUUGCGUCGACUGUGAAAAACCCGCGGCUCAACCGUGUGGCUUGCAGUCGAUACGGGCAGGCUAGAGUUCGGUAGGGGGAGACUGGAAUUCCUGGUGUAGCGGUGAAAUGCGCAGAUAUCAGGAGGAACACCGGUGGCGAAGGCGGGUCUCUGGGGCCGAUACUGACGCUGAGGAGCGAAAAGCGUGGGGGAGCGAACAGG